AUGAACGCUAGCGGGAGGCCUAACACAUGCAAGCCGAGCGGUAGAGAUCUUUCGGGAUCUUGAGAGCGGCGUACGGGUGCGGAACACGUGUGCAACCUGCCUUUACCUGGGAGAUAGCCUUUCGAAAGGAAGAUUAAUACCCCAUAAUAUAUAGAGUGGCAUCACUUUGUAUUGAAAGCUCCGGCGGAUAGAGAUGGGCACGCGCAAGAUUAGAUAGUUGGUGAGGUAACGGCUCACCAAGUCAGUGAUCUUUAGGGGGCCUGAGAGGGUGAUCCCCCACACUGGUACUGAGACACGGACCAGACUCCUACGGGAGGCAGCAGUGAGGAAUAUUGGACAAAGGGUGAAAGCCUGAUCCAGCCAUCCCGCGUGAAGGACGACGGCCCUAUGGGUUGUAAACUUCUUUUGUAUAGGGAUAAACCUACCCUCGUGAGGGUAGCUGAAGGUACUAUACGAAUAAGCACCGGCUAACUCCGUGCCAGCCGCCGCCGUAA
rnacentral:rRNA from 1 species